rnacentral:rRNA from 1 species
AACAAAAACAUGGUUUUUUGAAUAUAAUUUAAGAUCUAAUCUGCCCACUGAUUUAAUUAUUAAAGGGCCGCAGUAUAUUGACUGUGCGAAGGUAGCAUAAUCAAUAGUUUUUUAAUUGGAAGCUUGUAUGAAUGAUUGGACGAGAUAAAUUCUGUCUUUAUUUAAUUUAUUUUAGAAUUUAAUUUUUAAGUUAAAAAGCUUAAAUUUAUAUAAAAGACGAGAAGACCCUAUAGAUCUUUAUAAUAAAUUGUUAAAGUUAUUUUAUAGUAAUAUUUUAUAUAUUAACAGUUGAUUAUUUUAUUGGGGUAAUAAAAAGAUUCAAUUAAUUCUUUUUUAUAUUUACAUUAAUGUAUGAUUAUUUUGAUCCUUUAUUAAAGAUUAAAAGAUUAAGUUACCUUAGGGAUAACAGCGUAAUUUUUUUUUAGAGUUCAUAUCGAUAAAAAAGUUUGCGACCUCGAUGUUG